UGGAGGAACCGCCUAAUUGAUCACGGUUGACCUCCACGCCAGGUAAGUAUGCUCGUUGAGAGUUAAACGAGACCUUAUAUGCUAUGCUCUAGCCACCCAAAAACGGUACAUGGCCGUAACACAACGAUAGCCCCAUCAGUCGCUCGACGAUGACGAUAAUCGGCGAUCGGUGCCGCGGCCGUUGAAGAACAUUUUGAUAAAUAUUAAAUGAUUGUAAAGAUGCUAGAGAUGUCAUUACGUGCCUAGACAAUACGGUAAGUGUCAGCCGUAAGCGCCGGCUGAUACGCAGCGCCUCCUAUGAGUCCCAAGAUGCGUUUCUGAGCUCCUCAGUCCUCACCAAUUGUGUUGACGAUAUUCACCGCCGGGCGUAACUGCACUUAAAGAUGCUGUACAACCGAUUCCUAAGUAUGAUUCAGAAGAAGAUAAAGAAAAAGAUGAAUAUUCAGUAGUAUUGUAGUCGUCUUUAAUAAAGAAACGAAGGCAUCGCUUCAUCAAGCGAUAAUAGUGUUCAUUUAAAAAACUAAAGAUACAGGUAAACCAGUGCGCAUAAUAUAUAUCACAUGAUAUAAAUGCUAAGCUCGUGAUUCAUAGAUACGUCGUCAUUUGAUUAUACUCAGGAUAACGCGGCACUCAAGGUCCUGCAGAUGAACAGAUCCGAUUAUACCAGAGGAAUUAUACGAUCCUCGACGUUUUCACGCCAUACCAACGUCAUAACACUGCUGAUGCAAUCAGUACAUCGCGAAAAAUGGGAUCGAUAGAACGACGAUGGACUGAUGGAUGAUCUCGGGUGAUAUAAUCUGAUUUUCCUAUAUAUUUUAUUGUUAUUAUACCUUUUUAUAAAUUAUUUAUAGUAAAUUUUAGGUAUCUUAUUUUUUUAAAUUACGAAUAGUUUACAGAAAUAUUCAGUGUUAUAAAAACGCUGUUUUUAAUCACGUGUAUUCAAAUUAUAAUACAUAUAAGUACUCCGCGAGUAAUUACGCAAAUUUUUCGCGAUUAAUAAUUAUUCCGAAACGAUUUUCAGUGGAAUAAUUUAGCUGAAUACCUGCUUUAUUUCUUACAG